rnacentral:tRNA from 1 species
GUCCAGGGAUGGGAAUCGAACCCACAACGUUCCGCUUACCGGGCAGAUGCCAUGUCCACUAGGCUACCCUAGA